UCGAGAAUCUUCGGCAAUGGACGCAAGUCUGACCGAGCGACGCCGCGUGCGGGAUGAAGGCCUUCGGGUUGUAAACCGCUGUCAGUGGGGAGGAAGGCGCUGUGAAGAGCAGUGUUUGACCUAUCCGCAGAGGAAGUGUGGGCUAAGUUCGUGCCAGCAGCCGCGGUAAGACGAACCACACAAACGUUAUUCGGAAUUACUGGGCUUAAAGGGUGCGUAGGCGGCGUGGAAAGUUGGGUGUGAAAUCCCUCAGCUUAACUGAGGAACAGCGCCCAAAACUACCAUGCUCGAGGGAGAUAGAGGAAUGCGGAACUUAGGGUGGAGCGGUGAAAUGCGUUGAUAUCCUAGGGAACACCGGUGGCGAAAGCGGCAUUCUGGAUCUCUUCUGACGCUGAGGCACGAAAGCUAGGGUAGCAAACGG
rnacentral:rRNA from 1 species